AGAGAAGUAAUAAUAAUAAUAAAAACACUUCUCUCUCAUCAUCUCUCAUGCAUCUCUGUCAUCUUAAUUAAUAACUCUCUUUUUUUUUUUUCUUUGUUUCCCUCUCUCUCUCUCUUAAUUACUUACUGUUUAUUCACUUCUUUCUUCCAUCUUAAAUACAACCCCCCUAUCUUCUUCCUUUUUCCCUAUAUUCUUCCUUUUUCCCUAUAUUCAUACUCUCAUAUAUUGUUUUCUCUCCUUUUUAGGGUUCUUUCUUGUUUGGUUUCUUAUCAGAUCACUUCCAUGGUGGUUUCCUGUUGAAAAUUUGAAGUUUAUUCAAGGGAAAAAUCAUAUAAUUUGAAGACCUAAUUUCAUGUGGGUUUUGUAAAGCAAAGGAUUUCCCAAUAGAGUUUAUUGGCAUUCUGUCCACCUCCCCUCCUUUCUUCAAAUCUUUCUAUUCAAAUUUUUGUUAUUCUUUAAAAGAAAAAAUUGAUUUAUAAUAUUGGGGGAGGUGGGCAUACUGCCAACUGAGUUCUGUUGGAUUCUCUUUGUUACAUCCCUCAUGAUGCCUCUCUUCUCUUUCUUAGUUCUUCUUUCUGAUGGAAAAUUAUAUCAUUUCUAACCCAAAUAUUUAACAUCAUCAUAUCAUUUUUCUUUUAUUUGUUCAAUGCUCUCUGAAAAUUUUCUCAUCAUGCUGUUUUUCCUCAGCUCACUGUCAUGGAGGUUCCCUUCUUUCUCAGCUCAUGGGGCCAAAAUGAUGAAGACGAAGAUGCUUCCAUUAUUUACCCAUUCUUCCGGCGGCGCGUGAGCUCUCCACGGCGGCGCUGACGGCGGAGAAAACAGUAAAAUAGUUUUUUUUUUUGUUUUUGUUUUUAAAAAAUGGUGUUUUUUGGUAUUGGAAUUUGAGCCUUUUGAAGAUCUGAUAUGAUCUUCUUCAAGCUUUGGAGCUACCUAGGGUUUGCCCUUAUAAUUCUCUGCACUUUUCACAGUCGUAGGGGAAUGGAAUGGAAUGGAAUGUAUUCUCUCUCCAAUUUAUUAUUAUUAUUAUUUUGAAAUCUCAAUUGUUCUUAACUUUUUACUUUUGAACUUUUUACUUUAGUAUACACAUUUAGCUUUUCUAAUUUUAUUAUUUACUGGCUAUAAAGGCAAUCCUAACAGUGUUCAUCAAUGUUAAUUUUCUUUUCAAACUUGUGUUGUUGAAGUGUUUAAGGUUUGAAUCACUCAUGCAGGAAUUCAGAGAUAUAUCAUUGUUGUUUUUGAUGGAUGUUUAUGGAUAUUGUAAAUUGUACUUCUGUUGA